rnacentral:rRNA from 1 species
GUAGGUGGCAAGCGUUGUCCGGAAUUAUUGGGCGUAAAGCGCGCGCAGGCGGUUCUUUAAGUCUGAGGUGAAAGCCCACGGCUCAACCGUGGAGGGUCAUUGGAAACUGGAGAACUUGAGUACAGAAGAGGAAAGCGGAAUUCCACGUGUAGCGGUGAAAUGCGUAGAGAUGUGGAGGAACACCAGUGGCGAAGGCGGCUUUCUGGUCUGUAACUGACGCUGAGGCGCGAAAGCGUGGGGAGCAAACAGGGAUUAGAUACCCUGGUAGUCCACGCCGUAAACGAUGAGUGCUAAGUGUUAGGGGGGUUUCCGCCCCCUUAGUGCUGCAGCUAACGCAUUAAGCACUCCGCCUGGGGAGUACGGCCGCAAGGCUG